ACAAGCGGUGGAGUAUGUGGUUUAAUUCGAUGCAACGCGAAGAACCUUUACCUGGUCUUGACAUCCCAGAGAUCCCUUGGAAACUUGGGAGUGCUUCCAUUAGGAAGAAUCUGGAGACAGGUGCUGCAUGGCUGUCGUCAGCUCGUGUCGUGAGAUGUUGGGUUAAGUCCCGCAACGAGCGCAACCCUUGCCUUUAGUUGCCAGCAGUUCGGCUGGGCACUCUAAAGGGACUGCCGGUGUUAAACCGGAGGAAGGUGGGGAUGACGUCAAGUCCUCAUGGCCUUUAUGACCAGGGCUACACACGUACUACAAUGGCCGAUACAAAGGGCAGCGACAUUGCGAAAUGGAGCCAAUCCCAUAAAUUCGGUCUCAGUCCGGAUUGGAGUCUGCAACUCGACUCCAUGAAGUUGGAAUCGCUAGUAAUCGUGGAUCAGCAUGCCACGGUGAAUACGUUCCCGGGCCUU
rnacentral:rRNA from 1 species